GACGAACGCUGGCGGCGUGCCUAAUACAUGCAAGUAGAACGCUGAAGAGAGGAGCUUGCUCUUCUUGGAUGAGUUGCGAACGGGUGAGUAACGCGUAGGUAACCUGCCUUGUAGCGGGGGAUAACUAUUGGAAACGAUAGCUAAUACCGCAUAACAAUGGGUGACACAAGUCAUUUAUUUGAAAGGGGCAAUUGCUCCACUACAAGAUGGACCUGCGUUGUAUUAGCUAGUAGGUGAGGUAACGGCUCACCUAGGCGACGAUACAUAGCCGACCUGAGAGGGUGAUCGGCCACACUGGGACUGAGACACGGCCCAGACUCCUACGGGAGGCAGCAGUAGGGAAUCUUCGGCAAUGGGGGCAACCCUGACCGAGCAACGCCGCGUGAGUGAAGAAGGUUUUCGGAUCGUAAAGCUCUGUUGUAAGUCAAGAACGAGUGUGAGAGUGGAAAGUUCACACUGUGACGGUAGCUUACCAGAAAGGGACGGCUAACUACGUGCCAGCAGCCGCGGUAAUACGUAGGUCCCGAGCGUUGUCCGGAUUCAUUGGGCGUAAAGCGAGCGCAGGCGGUUUGAUAAGUCUGAAGUUAAAGGCUGUGGCUCAACCAUAGUUCGCUUUGGAAACUGUCAAACUUGAGUGCAGAAGGGGAGAGUGGAAUUCCAUGUGUAGCGGUGAAAUGCGUAGAUAUAUGGAGGAACACCGGUGGCGAAAGCGGCUCUCUGGUCUGUAACUGACGCUGAGGCUCGAAAGCGUGGGGAGCGAACAGG
rnacentral:rRNA from 1 species